rnacentral:rRNA from 1 species
AUUGAACGCUGGCGGCAGGCCUAACACAUGCAAGUCGAGCGGAUGAAGGGAGCUUGCUCCUGGAUUCAGCGGCGGACGGGUGAGUAAUGCCUAGGAAUCUGCCUGGUAGUGGGGGAUAACGUCCGGAAACGGGCGCUAAUACCGCAUACGUCCUGAGGGAGAAAGUGGGGGAUCUUCGGACCUCACGCUAUCAGAUGAGCCUAGGUCGGAUUAGCUAGUUGGUAGGGUAAAGGCCUACCAAGGCGACGAUCCGUAACUGGUCUGAGAGGGUGAUCAGUCACACUGGAACUGAGACACGGUCCAGACUCCUACGGGAGGCAGCAGUGGGGAAUAUUGGACAAUGGGCGAAAGCCUGAUCCAGCCAUGCCGCGUGUGUGAAGAAGGUCUUCGGAUUGUAAAGCACUUUAAGUUGGGAGGAAGGGCAGUAAGUUAAUACCUUGCUGUUUUGACGUUACCAACAGAAUAAGCACCGGCUAACUUCGUG